rnacentral:lncRNA from 1 species
GCUAGAGUGAGUGUUAGUGUGUGUGAGUGUUAGUGUGUGUGAGUGUUAGUGUGUGUGAGUGUUAGAGUGAGUGUUAGUGUGUGUGUCUGCUAGUGUCAGUGAGUGUGUUACUGUGUGUGUCUUACUGAGUGUGUGUGUUAGUGAGUCUGUUUGAUGUCUUUUAGUGAGUGUGUGUUUGUCAAUGAGAGUGUAUGUUUUGUAAGAGAGUGUGUAUGUAU